rnacentral:rRNA from 1 species
UACGUAGGGUGCGAGCGUUGUCCGGAAUUAUUGGGCGUAAAGGGCUCGUAGGCGGUUUGUCGCGUCGGGAGUGAAAACUCAGGGCUUAACCCUGAGCCUGCUUCCGAUACGGGCAGACUAGAGGUAUGCAGGGGAGAACGGAAUUCCUGGUGUAGCGGUGAAAUGCGCAGAUAUCAGGAGGAACACCGGUGGCGAAGGCGGUUCUCUGGGCAUUACCUGACGCUGAGGAGCGAAAGUGUGGGGAGCGAA